AGAGAAAUAUCUGGGUCAAAUGGUGGUUCCUUUCCCAGUUUUCCAAGGAAUCUCCAUACUUCUUUCCAAAUUGGCUGCGCCAAUUUGAAGUCCCAAAAGCUAU
rnacentral:pre_miRNA from 1 species